AACGCACAUUGCGCCCGCCGGCAUCCCGGCGGGCAUGCCUGUUCGAGCGUCAUUUCAACCCUCAGGCUCCGCCUGGUGUUGGAGCCCUGCGGCGCAGGCUCUCAAAGACAGCGGCGGUCGCGCCCCGGUACUGAGUAUAGUAAUUGUUCUUGCUCGGGUUCCUUGGCGCGUCUCCGGCCGUAAAACCCCCGUCUUUUUCCACGGUUGACCUCGGAUCAGGUAGGAAUACCCGCUGAACUUAA
rnacentral:misc_RNA from 1 species